rnacentral:lncRNA from 1 species
ACUUGAACUUGCCAUAUGCGAUCAUUAGCUUGUUCAACAAUAUGACUGUUCCUGUACUGGUAGAGCCAUUCACAUGUACCUUAACUUAGUUCCCCAUGUAGGGAGGACCUCGCAGUUUAUUCUCUCGUUGUAGUUGCCAUUCUCUUUCUUGUAGAUACUGUAGAAGUGGUGGCUUCUCUGCUCCCAAGUCUGUCCCGGUAACACAUCCAUAGGAGAUCGGUCUUUGGUAGCCAUGAAACAGCUUGUCCCUUCUUUAUUCCUCUACUCCGUGGAAAGAAGUGUCUAUUGGCAUUAGAUUUGUCCAUUUACAUUAGACACAAUAGGGAUAAGAUGUGUCUAUUGCCAUUAGACAAAUUUAUUUGGAUUAAGAUGUGUCUAUUAUCAAAAUACACAUCUAUUGACAUCAUAUAUAUAUAUAUAUAUAUAUAGAUGUUGCAUUGAUCAUUUCAAAGUGUAGGUUCAUUUGAAAUACACAACGAUAUACAUUCUCUUUUCUUGCAAAAUUUCUGACUUUAUCUGAUUGAAUUAUUUGAUGAACCACAAAUAACUUCAAUCUGAAAGUGUUCACACCUUCAGAAAAAUCCAAGUUACCACCAUAAAUACAAUAAAAUAUUCCAGCCUAUUAGUCUUUAUAUGGUAAAUGUUUUGACACUCACAAACGGUUAAAUUUGAUCAUAAAAAUUAAAAUAUUUACAAAUUCAGGCAAGUCACAAUCUGCAUGAACAUCGUUAAACCUUUACUACUAUCCCUCAAUCUACAUCACUAAGUUCUGAAAGCAAUAUUACAUAUAUUUUUCGUCUAUUUGAUAACCAUCUGAUCAGCACAAGAACAUUGUAGCUUUUGGACAAAAACAAGAAAUACACACUUCUUCAAAUAUAAGUUCAACCAGAAUGUCACUUGAAAACCGGCAGGACCUUGAUUUACCCAAGUACAAACAAACAUUUAGACUUAGAAUCGAAGUCGUGUUAAAGUGUCCAUGUACCUUAACUUAGUUCCCCAUAUAGGGAGGACCUCGCAGUUUAUUCUCUCGUUGUAGUUGCCAUUCUCUUUCUUGUAGAUACUGUAGAAGUGGUGGCUUCUCUGCUCCCAAGUCUGUCCCGGUAACACAUCCAUAGGAGAUCGGUCUUUGGUAGCCAUGAAACAGCUUGUCCCUUCUUUAUUCCUCUACUCCGUGGAGAGGCAAAUUUGUGUUCAAAUGCGGGUUAUCCAAAUAA